GAUGAAGAACGUAGCGAAAUGCGAUAAGUAAUGCGAAUUGCAGAAUUCGGUGAGUCAUCGAAUCUUUGAACGCACAUUGCGCCCUUUGGCAUUCCGAAGGGCAUGCCUGUUCGAGCGUCAUUUAUCAACCCUCAAGCCCGGCUUGCGGUUGGGUCCCGCCGUGGGCGACCACGGCGGACCCGAAAGGUAAUGGCGGUGCCCGUGGGGCCCUGGACGCAGCGAGCUUCUCGGCACGCGUCCCGGCGGUCCCCGGCGCCGUCUCCACCAAUCCACCACGCAGAUUGACCUCGGAUCAGGUAGGGAUACCCGCUGAACUUAAGCAUAUCAAAAGCGGAGGA
rnacentral:misc_RNA from 1 species